CUUAUUGGCAGACCAAUGCAUUAGAAUUAGAAUCUAAUUAACC
rnacentral:tRNA from 1 species